rnacentral:lncRNA from 1 species
CUUUGCUCUCAGAGUGAAAGCCAAGUGCCCAUGUAAUUUGAGUCUCUGUAUCUGGGGCUUGAUCCUAUCCAGUGGCGAGGACAAAGAACCCAAGUCAGAGAAACUGUGCUCAGGAAGACAACACCAGGAGGAAGAGAACCUGGGAGAGAAAACAGGUGGUAUAUGGCCCUCACAUUCCCCAGUGCAGGUGUUGGUCAGGCAUCCUUGUCCUAGUGACAGCAAUGUCCUUAUUGGUGCAGUACUCCAGCAGAGCAGUGGACACGGGCUGCGUCUCCUACAUCCCUCAGAAGCUGGGAUUUAUGGCUUGUAUUAUUAUUGGCUCAUCUACACCUUCGUGUAGACCCCAAGGUCAAAGACUUUUACCUACCCCAUUUCAACACUGAGGAUUCCUCUCUGCAGGAUUUAAGAAGAACAGAAGUAUUCUAUAUCUCACUUGCUACUGUAUAAAUAUAAUGGUAUGAGUGGCUAUAUUCACUUAAAAUAUGAAGGUAUAUAAAACAAAGGUGUGUGUGUAUAUA